CACUAUCCUAAAUGAAUCCCUAGAAUCCCCUUCUUUCUCCUCUUUCUUCUUCCCAGCCCGAUACUCUUUCUUUUCUUCUCUAGCAUUUCAGUCGGCCAGACCAGAUGAGCCAUCUCCGGCCACCACCCAAUGACACGCACCCCACCACGAGCUUCCUUGGCCCCCGAAACCGCCAACCCGUGAAGCUCGCCUCCCCACUCGCCGGCCUCCGUCGCGACUGGCUCCUCAAAGUUCCGUCGCCGCUGUGAGUUUGGAGGAUUUUUCUGGCCUCCACCGUGGACGAUGAAGGCUCCUGCUGGCGAACCCACUUUGCCGGUUCUCUACCCUUCGUUGCUAUCAGUUAAAACUUUUUUGAGGGAUCAGAAGCAGAAGACUUGAAUGGGUGGCCCUAAGCAAUGUCAAGUUUGCAAUGAAGCAGUUUCCAAGUACAAGUGUCCCUCUUGUCUUGUCCCUUAUUGUUCUCUUAUCUGCUUCAAGAAACACAAAGGAUCAAGGAGGAUGAUAAGAUGAUUCAAGCUGAGGGAGUGGAGUCCCUUUCAGAAAAAGAGCUUAUUUCAGCCUGUCAAGAACGAGGCAUACUUGGAACACUUUCAGUAGAGGAAAUGCGAGAAGAGGUUUGAGCUUAAUCUAGACUUCUUUAGUUUGUUCAUUGAUUGAAGAUAGACUGAAACAUGUCUAUUAAAUUUAUCACUUAUGGUUCAUGAAUAUUAUAUUUUCAUGGUGAUUUCACCUCAUUUGUUACUGUCAGGGAUGUCAAUAAGCCAAUGUAAGCUUUGACUAGCUGCAACCUCUUCUAAACAGCCCAUAGUUAUAUCAUCAGAUUUCAAAGAAACUUUUUUCGCAACAGUUUGCAAGAGGUAUGCCUCUAACUCUUAUUUUAAUACUAUGCAAAUGUUAGAGUAAUUUGAAUAUCUUAAAUAUUCAUCUAUAGUGAAGUAGGUUCUGUGAUUGUUACUGUGUGCUACGGUGAUAACAGAAGGUUGAGAACUUGUGUGUUUUAGUGAAGUAGGUUCUGAGAAAUUUGUGUGCUGCGGAGAUAAGAAAGAAAACUUGUGUAUUGUUUGAAUUGAUAUUGAUAGAUGGUUGGUUGCUAGUAUGAGGAAAAUGUUGUUCGAUUUUAUGUAGACUUGUCUAUGAUUAUCCUAUAAUUGAAUUGUGUUUGAUUGGUUUGAUUAUAACAUAUACUUGUAUGAAUGUACUUAUUGCAUUUUGGCAUACACAUAUAGCAUAACUUUUUGUACUUCUUGUUUUAGACGAUGUUAGUUUUCUUCUUGCCCCUUGUCUAAUGUCUUUGGUGAGGUGGUUUAUAACGUUGAACAUCACUUUUUGUUCUUGUAAUCACGUUUAGGUUCAAUAGUAUAAAGUGCUAUACAAAAAUUUGACAUUAUUAGCAUAUUGGUUGAUAAUUCAUAGUUAUAUUGGACUCUAAGUUUCAUUCUUUUGGAAUAGCAUUUAUUGAUUUUAUCAGCUUCGGGGUAUAUUUUUGUUUUAGUGUUGGUGCUUAAUUUAUUUAGAUUUAUUAAUUUUAGUGUAUAUUAUGUAUUUAUAUUUUUUGUUGGAUACUUUGCUUCUGAUUUUGUUAUAUUUAUUCAGAUUCAGAGUAUUUAUAUAGAUUGUUCUGUUGGUGGUCUUUGUACUCUGUAUAUAAUUUUAUAUUUGGUAUUUUAUGGCAUAUUUGUGUUGUGUUUACUUUGUUAGUGCUAAAGACUUUGUUUAUUAUCUUGUUAUGUUAAUCAGCUUUAGGGUAUAUUUGUGUUUUGAUGUCGGUGCUUAUUUUUUUUUUUAGAUUUGUUGAUUAAAGAAUAUAUUAUGUAUGUAUUUUUUGUUGGAUACUUUGCUUUUAGUUUUGUUAUGUUUAUUCAGAUUUAGAGUAUAUAUGUGUACUAUUGUAAUUAAGUUCUUUUUUGUGAUUUAUUUUUUUACAUUCAUUGAUUUUGGUAUAUAUAUAUCUAUAUAUAAAUAUGUUUUUGUUGGAAAUUUAUUUUAGGUAUUAUUAUGGUUAAUUAUAUUUAUGGUAUUCAUUUUUUUUUGCCAAUGAUGUUAAAAUAACGAGGAUGCUUAUUAUGUUGGUGAUUAUAGGAUUUAUUGUGCUUUAUAUUUUUUAAAGGCAUACAAAGUGUCAUAAAUGCCCAUAAUAAGUCAUUAUUUUUUUUCUGAAAUCCUUAUGAUGAUUAAAUUGGGGGUAUUCUAUUAUUAAAUUGGGAAUUUUGUUAUACUGUAAUUCACAACAUCAUUGGUCUCCCAACCGUCUCAAAUCUUGUCGGCAUUCUUACAAGGUCAGUUUUUGUUUAAUAAUCUCUAAGAGAUUUGUCUUGUUGAAUUGGGAAUUGGGAAUGUUAUUAAAUUGGGGGUAUUCUAUUAUUAAAUUGGGAAUGUUGUCUUGUUGAGAUUUGUUGUAUUAUAUAUUUUUAAGUUUAUGGAUUUAUAAUAUUAUAAUGAAUUUUUAUUGAUAAUUAUUUAAUCUCAUGGGGAUUUGAUGUAUUAUUUACAUUUUAAUUGUAUGAAUACAUAUUGUAUGUAUAUGAAUUUUUAUUCUGAUAAAUAUAAUUUUUUUUUACAAGUUAUGUUAAUAAUAAUUAAUUAUGUGAGUAAUUUUUAUAAUUAAAUUUAUAUCAAAUUUCAAUUGUUAAAAAUAUAAUUAAAAGUUUUAAAAUAUAUAUAUAAAAAAAUUCUUAUUUAUAUAUAUAAAUUUAAUGUUACGGUGACACUUAUUAACUGUCGGCGUUGCCAGCAACGGCGACACGUAUUAACUGUCGGCGUUGCCAGCAACGGCGACGCGUAUUAACUGUCGGCGUUGCCAGCAACGGCGACAUGUAUUAACUGUCGGCGUAGCCAGCAACAGCAACACGUAUUAACUGUCGGCGCGUAGCCAGCAACAGCGACACGUAUUAACUGUCGGCGUAGCUACCCUACGCCGGCAUAGGCAAAUACGACAGUUAGUCGACUGACGUCAUUGCUCAAUAGCGACAGUUAAAAACUGUCGGGAAAGCCCAAUUUUGUAGUAGUGACAUAUUUGAUGAAUUUUUGAAGUUGUUAAAGCUUGCCUUUCUGAAGGAAAACAAAAUUCCCGGAUCGUGCUACGAGCCGUAAAAGAGAUUGAAAAGAUUAGGGUUGGGAUACGAGUCCAUUCAUGUGUGUCAGUAUGAUUGCUGCUUAUUUUAUAAUGAGCAUGCAUCUAAAGAAACAUGUCCAGUAUGUGGAAGUAGUAUAUGGAUUACUUCCGAAAUGACGAAAGGAAAAAAGGUGUCACAUAAGGUGAUGCGUUACUUUCCAUUGACACCUUGGUUAAAAAGACUAUACUGUUCAAGGAUUACAACGAACCACAUGAUAUGGCAUCACACUGGGAAAUCUAAAGAUGAUGCGACACCCAGUGGAUGGCUCUGUGUGGAAGGACUUUGAUGUCAAACUUCCUGAUUUUUCAAGGGAUCCUAGAAAUGUUCGUUUAGGCUUAGUUGCCGAUGGAUUUAAUCCAUUUGGCAACAUGAACCUUGCAUACAGCAUGUGGCCUAUGGUGUUGGCAAACUAUAAUCUCCCACCUUGGUUGUGUAUGAAAGAUAAUUAUUUCAUGUUGACCCUCCUUAUUCCCGGGCCAAAAUCAUCAAGUAAGGACAUGGAUGCAUUUCUAAGACCAUUGGUGGAUGAGUUGAAGGAUCUGUGGGUUCACAAAGUUGAUACAAGAGAUAGUACAACCAACACGCAGUUCAAUAUGCAGACAGCCCUUUUGUGGACAGUGAACAAUUUUCCAGCUCGCAGUAGUUUUUUUGGAUGGAGUGGUCAGGAAUACAAAGCUUGUCCUACGUGUAAUGAAGACACAACUUCCAUCCUAGUGAUUAGUAAGUCAUCUUAUGUUGGUCAUAGAAGAUUUUUGCCAAGUACUUAUCGAAUGAGAAGAGACAAUGAGUUCGAUGGAGAAGUUGAAACAAGACGUCUUCCAAAAUGGUUUACUUGUGAGGAUAUACUAGAAUAAGUUAAUGCUCUUGCACCGCAAGUUCCAGGAAAACACAUCCAGUUUGGGGGUAUGAAACGUAAAGGAGGUGUAGAUGAAGGUAAUUGGAGGAAAAAAAGUAUCUUCUACGAGCUUGAGUAUUGGUGUACAAACAAAUUCAAACACAAUAUAGAUGUCAUGCAUGUUGAGAAGAAUGUGUGUAAUAGUCUCCUUGGCACCAUCUUAGACAAUGAUAAAUCUAAGGACACCACUAUUGCAAUACAUGAUUUGGAAAAUAUGGGCGUGAGGGAAUCAUUGUGGAUUUAUGAAGAUGAGAACGAGAAGUUGAUGAAGCCGCACGCUCCUUACGUGUUAACUAUGACACAUAGGCAACAUUUUUGUCAAUUUACAAAAAGGAGUUAGAUUUCCAAAUGACUUUUGUUCAAAUUUGAAGAAGAAAGUGUUCGAGAAUGAUAUAAAUAUUAUUGGGUUGAAGUCACACGAUUGUCGUGUGAUAAUGCAACGAUUACUUUCUCUCGGUGUUCACAAGUUUCUCCCAAAAUCUAUAUCGACCACCGCUACAAAAUUGUGCAAUUUCUUCAGGAAAAUAUGUUUGAGGACUUUAAAUGCUAAAGAUAUAGAGGAAGCACAAAAUGACCUUAUUCAGAUAUUGUGCAAGAUGGAGUUGAUUUUUCCUCCAGCUUUUUUCGACAUAAUGAUUCAUUUGGUCUUAUAUUUACCAGAAGAAGCUAUAUUGGGUGGCCCGGUAGUUAUGAGGUGGAUGUAUCCUUUUGAAAGGUACAUGAAAAAAUUGAAGAAUUACAUGGGAAAUAAAGCUCGCCCUGAAGGGUCGAUCGCCGAAGGCUAUGUUGCAGAUAAGGCUUUGACCUUUUGUUCAAUGUAUUUCAAAGACAUUGAAACAAGAUUUAACUGUCUUGAUCGAAAUGAAGAUUCAACUUAUAUCCCACGAAACCUUACAAUUUUCCAAUCUCAAUGUCGUCCACUCACAAAGUAAACUUUGAAGCCUCGCAAUCAUAACACUCGUGAAAUAGUUGAGUGGUUCAUACUUGAGAAUUCUCUUGAAAUUGAGGCUUAUUUAGAGUAAGUUGAUUCCUUUUUAAAUUAGAACAUGUGUGGUUAUUAUAAGUUUUUUGUUAUUAAGAAUCGUAACAGUGAACACCUACAAGAGAUUAGACAGCGAACACCUACAAGAGAUUAGACAAAAUGAGCAUGCUAAUUUUGUCUAAUCCGGGUAUUUUCCUAUUCUAAUUAACAGCGAACACCUACAAGAGAUUAGACAAAAAUACCUAGAUGGUGAUCAUGAUCGUUUGCAUAGGAAAAUUUUUUGUUUGUGGUUUCAUAAGAAGGUAGCUUUAAACUUUGAACUUUCAUUUUAUUAAUGAUAUCUUUUGUGAAUCUAAUACACAUUUAUGUAUUUAGAUAUAUGACUUGCACAAGCUUGGGUCUUUUGAAAAAUGGUGAUGAAUUGCUAGCUUUAGCAUCUGGGUCAGAUCAUUUGGCAACCUAUUACCAAUGUUGUAUAGUCAAUGGUGUUUGAUUUAUUGCACACGACCAAGAUAAAAAGCGCAUCACACAGAAUAGUGGAGUGUAUGUUGCCGGAACAGAAGGUUUUAAUUAUAAUGGUACACUUGAAGAAAUAGUGACACUAUCUUUCACCGGUGCAUAUUCAGUGGCAUUAUUUCGGUACAAAUGGUUUAAUACAAAUCCAAGAAGGAAGAAAAAAAUCAUUGAAAAUAAUAUCACCAGUAUAAACGUCAAUAGUGAAUGGUAUAAAGAUGAGUCGUAUAUACUUACUAGCCAAGCUAAGAAAGUUUUAUGUCUUGAUGAUCUACUUCGAGGUCAUGAUUGGAAAGUUGUAGAAGAUGUAAAUCAUUGACAAAUUUGGGACAUUAAAGACAAUUUUGAUGAGGUUAAUGAUGCUAUUGAUGUUUACAUGAAACAAGUUCAUCAAAUUUUGUGUUGACUGUGGACCUUGGAGAGUUGAUUAUGCAAUUUGAUCAACAUGUUUCAUAUGUUGGGGCUGAUGAAGAGGAUGACGACAAAGGUGAUAUGCCAGAACAUGAGGAAGUCGCAGAUGUAGAGGAUGAAUUGCUAGUUGAGCUUUGUGAAGAUUAAAAUGUGUCUCUGAUUACUGAUGGAAAUGAUAGUCAUUACUCUAUUUAGUUUUUCUAUUUGUGUAACAUAACUAUAUAUUGAAAUGUAAUAAAGUUUUUUUGUUGUUGUAAUUACUAUGUCUACGAUUUGAAUGUGAUAUUAAUUAGUAUACCUCUAAUUUAAUCUAAUGCUAAUCUAAUAAAUUUUAAACUGAAGUAUAAUGUCAGCUAAUAUAGCAACAUAUCACGGUGGAGAUAGUGGUGGUCGAGACCCGCCAUAUCCUUCUAGGGUACUGUCAUCCUGCGAGUCAGCCCCGCCGACGAGAAGAAAGGUCGUGGCCUUGCUAGUAAUAAUGUUCUUGAAGAAUAAAGGAAAAAAGCCGGUAAACCAUUGGAUCUAGAGCUUGAUCCUGUGAUGAACAAAUUGGUUGGGCAGGAGGACCAAGCUUUUAUUCGCAUGUUGGGCACUCAAGUUAUAAUGUUGUGUUCGGGACAUUACUUGGAUUUUGUUGAUUUACCUCAACAGUUUAAGGAUCAAGUGCUUAAUCAUAUGAGGUAUUACUAUAAUAUAGACGGCCAUCCACAACAUGAGUCAGUUCUGGCAACUGUCUAUAAGGAGAUUGGUGAAAGAUGUCGUGAGAGAAAGAACAUCAGACAUAAACACUUCAAAAAUCAUUACGCGGGACCAGAAGAGUAGGAGAAUGUCCUCUCUAAGCCACCUGACCAUUGCAUUAAGGAGACAUGGAAGAAUAUUUGUGAGUUAUUUUUUAGCGAAAGAUUAUUGGCUCGCUCCGCUAAAAACCAAGCAAACAGAAAACAAAUGAAGUAUGUAACAACACAAGGCACAAAAUUGUUGGCAGCUAAGCGUCACGAAUAUAAGCAACCAGAUGCACAUGUUGUUGAUACUUGGAGGGAUGUUCAUAUAAAAAAAUCGACAAAAACUUUUGUCAACGAGGCAGCUCAACAAGAUUAUGAAAAAAAAUGGUGGCGGAGCUUCUGAAAUCACAACUUGAUAGGCAGUCUCAAUAGCAGAGUGAGGGGUCUGGUAAUGUAUCUGGCGUUGAUUCGUCCUCGGUCGAUCAAUACGAGAUACUAAUUAAAGUACUCAGGGAGAGAUCAUACUACCAAAGAUUAAUGGGUUAUAGGGUGAAAGGAAAAGUGAGAAAGUGAGAAAGUCAACCUCCAACUCUACAAAUAAAAGUUAGUCUCAAGCACAUACUACUCCUACGCCUAAUGGAGAUAUGACUAUUAUGGCUUUGAUGAUGAAGGCAAUGCGUGAGACGAUUCAGAUGGUAGCACCUCAGCAACCCAGUAAGCUGUAUGACCCAUAGUUUGACAGUUUUCUGCAGAGGUAUUUGCCAUCAUAUUCUGAAGGUGAUAUGUCUUCUCAGAGUAACACUGCCCAUCCUGACCUUCAUAUACACCGCCACAACAGUAGUACCAUGUUAGGAACGAAUUUCGUAAUACACAGCGGAAUUGUGUGGCAGGGUGGCCCAGUGUACACCAAUUAUUUUGUAACAUAUUUAAACUACUUUUAAAUAUGCAGAUCCAUUAAUAUACAUACAUUAAUGAUAAACAAGAAAAGAAUAAAGAACAUACUUCUUGAUGCCAA